rnacentral:rRNA from 1 species
CUCCGGUUGAUCCCGCCGGACCCGACUGCUAUCAGAGUGGGACUAAGCCAUGCGAGUCAACGUAGCAAUACGUGGCAUACGGCUCAGUAACACGUAGUCAACAUGCCCAGGGGACGAGGAUAACCUCGGGAAACUGAGGAUAAACCUCGAUAGGCCAUGAUUUCUGGAAUGAUUCUUGGCUCAAACCUAUAUGGCCCCUGGAUUGGACUGCGGCCGAUCAGGCUGUUGGUGAGGUAAUGGCCCACCAAACCUAUUACCGGUACGGGCUCUGAGAGGAGGAGCCCGGAGAUGGGCACUGAGACAAGGGCCCAGGCCCUAUGGGGCGCAGCAGGCGCGAAACCUCUGCAAUAGGCGAAAGCUUGACAGGGUUACUCUGAGUGAUUUCCGCUAAGGGAAUCUUUUGGCACCUCUAAAAAUGGUGCAGAAUAAGGGGUGGGCAAGUCUGGUGUCAGCCGCCGCGGUAAUACCAGCACCCCGAGUGGUCGGGACGAUUAUUGGGCCUAAAGCAUCCGUAGCCGGUCCUGCAAGUCUUCCGUUAAAUCCAGCUGCUCAACAGAUGGGCUGCGGGAGAUACUACAGGGCUAGGAGGCGGGAGAGGCAAGCGGUACUUUAUGGGUAGGGGUAAAAUCCGCUGAUCCAUAGAAGACCACCAGUGGCGAAGGCGGCUUGCCAGAACGCGCUCGACGGUGAGGGAUGAAAGCUGGGGGAGCAAACCGGAUUAGAUACCCGGGUAGUCCCAGCUGUAAACGAUGCAGACUCGGUGAUGGGUUGGCCUCGCGCCUGCCCAGUGCCGCAGGGAAGCCGUUAAGUCUGCCGCCUGGGGAGUACGGUCGCAAGACUGAAACUUAAAGGAAAUGGCGGGGGAGCA